GACGAACGCUGGCGGCGUGCUUAACACAUGCAAGUCGAACGGAAAGGCCCAGCUUGUGUGGGGUGCUCGAGGGGCGAAGGGGUGAGUAACAUGGGAGUAAGCUGCCCUUGACUUUGGGAUAACUUCAGGAAACUGGGGCUAACACAGGAUAGGAGAGCCUGCUGCAGGGGGGGGGUUGGAAAGUUUCGGCCGAGGGGGCUGGACGCGGGGCUUAUCAGCUUGUUGGGCGGGUAGCGGCUUACGGACGGUUUGGCGGGUCGUCCGCCUGAGAGGGGGGUCGGCCACCAUGGUACUGCGGUACGGCCCAGACUCCUACGGGAGGCAGCGGUGGGGAAUAUUGCACAAUGGGCGGAAGCCUGAUGCAGCAACGCCGCGUGCGGGAUGACGGCCUUCGGGUUGUAAACCGCUUUCGCCUGUGACGAAGCGUGAGUGACGGUAAUGGGUAAAGAAGCACCGGCUAACUACGUG
rnacentral:rRNA from 1 species